rnacentral:rRNA from 1 species
UACGUAGGCAGCAAGCGUUGUUCGGAGUUACUGGGCGUAAAGAGUGCGUAGGCGGUCCUCUAAGUUUGGUGUGAAAUCUCCCGGCUCAACCGGGAGGGUGCGCCGAAAACUGGAGGGCUCGAGUGUGGGAGAGGUAAGCGGAAUUCCUGGUGUAGCGGUGAAAUGCGUAGAUAUUGGGAAGAACGACCGGUGGCGAAGGCGGCUAUCUGGACCGUAACUGACGCGUGAGGCGCGAAAGCUAGGGGAGCAAACAGGGAUUAAGAAACCC